UCGGUAGCUUAGUUGGUAGAGCAGUGGAUUGAAAAUCUGCAUGUUCCUGGUUCGAUUCUGGCACG
rnacentral:tRNA from 1 species